rnacentral:rRNA from 1 species
GAUGAACGCUGGCGGCGUGCCUAAUACAUGCAAGUCGAGCGAACAGACGAGGAGCUUGCUCCUCUGACGUUAGCGGCGGACGGGUGAGUAACACGUGUAUAACCUACCUAUAAUACUGGGAUAACUUCGGGAAACCGGAGCUAAUACCGGAUAAUAUAUUGAACCGCAUGGUUCAAUAGUGAAAGUCGGUGUUGCUGUCACUUAUAGAUGGAUCCGCGCCGCAUUAGCUAGUUGGUACGGUAACGGCUUACCAAGGCAACGAUGCGUAGCCGGCCUCAGAGAGUGAUCGCCCACACGGGAACGUAGCCACGGACCAGACUCCUACGGGAGGGCGCAGUAGGGAAUCGGACGCAAUGGGCGAAAGCCUGACGGAGCAACGGCGAGUGAGUGAUGAAGGUCUUGGGAUCGGAAAACUCUGUUAUUAGGGAAGAACAAAUGUGUAAGUAACUAUGCACGUCUUGACGGUACCUAAUCAGAAAGCCACGGCUAACUACGUG